rnacentral:lncRNA from 8 species
UGCCAGGAAACAGAGACCGUGGAACAUGUAUUGCUACAUUAUGGGCAGUAUCAGAGGGAGAAUGGGAUACAGGACAUUCAUUUAAAGAGUAUAUUGAGUAGAACGUCAUUAGAUAUAGUAUCAAAUAUGUUAUCUUAUUUAAAAGCAACAAGGCUGGCCCACACUCCAGUACAGUAGGUGGCGGUAAUGCACCAUAACGUUGAAUGCCAACCACCGAUAAACCCCACCGAAGAAGAGGAAGAAGGAAAUAAAAAAUGAUUAUCGUUAGAUUCGAUGAAACAUCGGUGUCUACAUUUAGGCCGGUUUAAAUGCAUGAACAAACCAAACAAGAUGGACUCGUUGCUCCUGUGGGCCACUGCCGGAGUCGACAGUGUAUUUGUUGGGGAGGGAACGACUGUGGAAAGGCGGAAGACGGCGCAUCAGCAGUCAGAUUGGAAGCGAACUGGUUGUUGCAAGAUGCUUGUAAGCGACAGUUCUCUGCACGGGAUUUAAGGAUAAGUCAACUUUCAAGUUUGAACUCCUGAAAUAAUCUGCAUGGAUCAACAAGGGCUGAACUAAAAUCUUGAUUAAAAAAAAAAAUCUAUAUAUUCAAC